rnacentral:lncRNA from 1 species
UGAAUUGAUGUCAUUCUUCUGGUCCCUUGGAAUGUGGGCAGCGCCGCCAAAGGCUUUGGACAUCACUGUUGGCCUCCACCAUUGUCAUGAUAUCUUCCAUGUAGUAGUUUUCCAGUAUUGUGGAUGGUGAAAUCACUAUAUGCGACAUAUGUCAAAUGUCCCUCUGCUACUGCAUUCCGAAUUAUGGAGUAGAUGCUUGUUUUCCCUCUGUUUUAGAAGGUGUAGGUUAUCAUACAUUAAUUAUGUGUCGGUCUCCAUAUUUUUGGUGUAUCAAACGCUGUUGUUUACUUUGUACUUCAGCAUCCUUUUGGCUAGUUUUCAUGGAAUUGCUGACAUCGUACUGUGUUUACUUCCUUUUGAGACAACUUGUGUAACUAGUCAGGAAAUUACUCCCCCCGUCCUGAAUUAUUUGUCUUAGAUUUGUUUUAGGUUUGAAUACAGAAAAUAUGACUUAGGGUCACGUCUUAGAUUUGUUAGAUACGGAUACAGGAAAUGUCACUACAUGCUCUCAGGAUACGGCCACUGUUUACUGUGCUAUGCGUAUUCGGCCUGAGUGGAAUUAAUUGACCGGUCAAACUGCGAAGUGCUUUUGCAAAAUGAAAAGGUGAGAAAAAAAAUUCCCGUCGGCCUCGGCCAUUCUGGAGCCGCCGGCCACCUUUCUCUCCUCCCCUUCUCCCCUGGUGCUCCCACCGAUGGUCGGAUCUCCCCUCCGAUGGUGGGGGCUCGGUGCACUCCCACGGGAGGUGCCUCGCCGGUGGUUGUGCCCGUUGUGGAUGGCAGUGGUGAGGCGGCCCAUGCCUGGCAGGUGUCCGGUGGUCUGAACUUCAGCUACUCCAGCGACAUGUAUUUCGAUACAGAGAGAGUAUAAUUGAAUUUCGUUAUCUGGAUUUUUAAUUGUUGAAGACUUGUCGAGUUCUUCUGCCAAGGCUUGAUUAAUAAACCUAUAAAAUCCCUUGAGUUGGAUCUGACUAAAUCUAGGCAUUGUAAACAUUUUUUUCGCUCACAUUCUGAAGCAUUUAAUCUUAAGUUUCCUACUUAUCAAAGAAAAAUUCCACCACCAGCUCACUCUUCAUCAAUACCUAUCUUAACUUUCCUUCUUAUCAAAGAAAAAUUCCAUUAUCAGCUCACUCUCCAUUAUCAAAGAAACAUUCCAUUCUGUUUACUGAAUCACAUGAAAUUCUAGCGAAUUCCACAUACGUAUUUCAUACAUAUGAAUUUUUCCUUUGCCAAAUUGCCUGAAAAUUUUAUGCUAUUUUCAAUCCAAUCAUGGAUAUUAUGCUUGUUAUACCUCUAUUCUUUUUUCUAUUGGCCUUUGUUUGACAAGUUGUUAUAAGUUUUUGAUGAAAUUUUUAGUACUUCGUAUGCCAAACUGAAUGAUGUGUUCAUUCCACAAAGAAAAUAGAAGUGUGUAAAAGUCGAGAAGUUCUAUUUUUGUGAACCUUUGGUUCUCAAAUUUAAAUUCUUCUAUAUCGAAUGGGUAGCUACAACAACAAAAAAAAAAUUGGUUCAUUGCCCUGCUGCGUGUACAACGCGUGUGUGGCGUUGGCAAAGUUCUUAAUCAAUUUGAGCACCUUGGCGGCUCAGCUCCGCCGUCAAGGCGACGUGCUCCACGGCGACAUGGAGACAUCAACGCCAUCGUCAGCUUAAGCAAGUCGCGCAAAGAAUCGACAUAGCUGCCGUUGGUACUUGGCCAAGUGGCCCAGGGCCACACCAGGCUGACUUCAUACACGGAG